rnacentral:rRNA from 1 species
GAUGAACGCUAGCGGGAGGCCUAACACAUGCAAGCCGAGCGGUAGAGAUUCUUCGGUAUCUUGAGAGCGGCGUACGGGUGCGGAACACGUGUGCAACCUGCCUUUAUCUGGGGGAUAGCCUUUCGAAAGGAAGAUUAAUACCCCAUAAUAUUUUAAGUGGCAUCAUUUAAAAUUGAAAACUCCGGUGGAUAGAGAUGGGCACGCGCAAGAUUAGAUAGUUGGUGAGGUAACGGCUCACCAAGUCAGUGAUCUUUAGGGGGCCUGAGAGGGUGAGCCCCCACACUGGUACUGAAACACGGACCAGACUCCUACGGGAGGCAGCAGUGAGGAAUAUUGGACAAUGGGUGAGAGCCUGAUCCAGCCAUCCCACGUGAAGGACGACGGCCCUAUGGGUUGUAAACUUCUUUUGUUCAGGGAUAAACCUAUUCACGUGUGAGUAGCUGAAGGUACUGUACGAAUAAGCACCGGCUAACUCCGUGCCAGCCGCCGCGGUAA